ACUCCUACGGGAGGCAGCAGUGGGGAAUUUUGGACAAUGGGCGCAAGCCUGAUCCAGCAAUGCCGCGUGCAGGAAGAAGGCCUUCGGGUUGUAAACUGCUUUUGUACGGAACGAAACGGUCUGGGUUAAUCUACCGGUAAUGACAGUACCGUAAGAAUAAGCACCGGCUAACUACGUGCCAGCAGCCGCGGUAAUACGUAGGGUGCAAGCGUUAAUCGGAAUUACU
rnacentral:rRNA from 1 species